rnacentral:lncRNA from 1 species
UUGAAUUCAAUUCAAAGAAAAACUCAGUAAGUAAACCUCCUGUUCUAUUAAAGUAAAGAGAAAUUUCCCAUUCAUUCUUUUAAGGUUCCGUUUUGGUUUAAGUUAAAAGACUGUUUGGUUUGAAUUAAAAAAAAGAAUGAGGCCUUUGGUCAAUAAAUAAAAAUUCAAUUACAAAUUAACAGGUUGAUAAGAAUUUCGGAUUCUUUUUUAUUGAAAAUUAAAAUAUAUUAAUAUAUUCGUAAUUAUUUCGAAAUAUAUAGUUUCAAAAAACAAAAUACCCUUUUCUUUUGAACAAAAAAGAAUAAAAAAUGAAACUAUCCAAUAAUUGUGCUUAGAGCAAUUCACACCUAAUAGAUUAGGAUUUUA